GCCUAUAUAAGCCAGAAAGCUGGCAACAGAAGGGGGCUACAGAAAGGCAGGCUGCUGUUACCCCCUGAGAUGAUGGAAUUGGGAAGCUGGUGAACCCAGAAGGUGGGCUAGCCAGGAAGGUAGGAGAAGGCUCCUGGGGAAAGCAUCAAGGGCUUUUAAAAAUCUAUAUACUGAACGGAAUGAUUUCAGCAGAGGAGAAGGAAGAGUCUGCAUGGAUUCCAGCUGAAAAUUUUCUAUGAGCAGGUGGAGGGAAGAUAUUGCUUUUGAGUCAGCAGACUGUAUAGAUUUGGUGAUCAAAGACUUUGAGACUCAGGUGAACUCAGCCUAAGUUUUUGGGAACUCCGAGUUUCUUCUCACUGUGUUUCUGUGGGGACUGACUUGCUUAGAUUAUUUUUUUUAAUGUAUGUUUAUGUAUAACUGUGAAAAUAAUGUAUGUAGUUUAUAAAGUAGCCAUGUUACGUUGUAUAAAUUAAGUUGUUGUUUAUUACGUUUCUUUAUAAUAAGAUUUUGUCAAGCUGGUAA